rnacentral:lncRNA from 1 species
UUGUUAUGAAAAAAACUGCACUUUUUUUAAUUACAAUUACUAUUGUGAUGUGGUAUCUGGUAUUGCAUUGUGCUCUUGUCCAUAUGGAUACUAUUUACAAUCAGAUAACAGGACAUGCGUCGAUUUUUACACACUUUGUGAUACAAAAAGAUGCUAUUCAUACAGCUAUUGCAAUGUAGUAUCUGGUAAUGCAAUAUGUUCAUGUCCAAGCGGAUUUUAUUUGGAAUCAGACAACAGAACAUGCUUAGAUACUAACAGUCUCUGUUCUACAAAAGGAUGUUACUCGUCAAAUUAUUGCUAUGUUGUAUCUGGUAAUGCAGUUUGCUCAUGUCCAUAUGGAUAUUAUUUACAACCAGAUAAAAGAACAUGUUUAGUUGAUCCAAACAAGGUAUGUGAAUUAAAGGGUUGCUACUAUUGUCAUGUGGUUUCUGGUAAAGCAAUAUGCUCUUGUCCAAGCGGAUAUUAUUUAGAUAAAGAUGGUUUUUCUUGUACAUUUGGCAAAAAUCCAUGUGAUCGAUGCUACAGUUUAUCUUAUUGCGAAAUAGUUUCAAGAUAUACUGCAAAUUGUUUGUGUCCUCCUGGAUAUUAUUUGUUAAAUGAUGGACACACAUGUUUAUCUGGUAA